rnacentral:rRNA from 1 species
AGAGUUUGAUCCUGGCUCAGGAUGAACGCUGGCGGCGUGCCUAACACAUGCAAGUCGAACGGACUUUUCAUGAAGCCUAGCGAUUGAAAAGUUAGUGGCGGACGGGUGAGUAACGCGUGGGUAACCUGCCUUGUACUGGGGGACAACAGUUGGAAACGACUGCUAAUACCGCAUAAGCGCACAGCUUCGCAUGAAGCAGUGUGAAAAACUCCGGUGGUACAAGAUGGACCCGCGUCUGAUUAGCUGGUUGGUGAGGUAACGGCCCACCAAGGCGACGAUCAGUAGCCGGCCUGAGAGGGUGAACGGCCACAUUGGGACUGAGACACGGCCCAAACUCCUACGGGAGGCAGCAGUGGGGAAUAUUGCACAAUGGGGGAAACCCUGAUGCAGCAACGCCGCGUGAGUGAAGAAGUAUUUCGGUAUGUAAAGCUCUAUCAGCAGGGAAGAAAAUGACGGUACCUGACUAAGAAGCCCCGGCUAACUACGUGCCAGCAGCCGCGGUAAUACGUAGGGGGCAAGCGUUAUCCGGAUUUACUGGGUGUAAAGGGAGCGUAGACGGUUUUGCAAGUCUGAAGUGAAAGCCCGGGGCUUAACCCCGGGACUGCUUUGGAAACUGUAGGACUAGAGUGCAGGAGAGGUAAGUGGAAUUCCUAGUGUAGCGGUGAAAUGCGUAGAUAUUAGGAGGAACACCAGUGGCGAAGGCGGAUUGCUGGACGAUAACUGACGGUGAGGCGCGAAAGUGUGGGGAGCAAACAGGAUUAGAUACCCUGGUAGUCCACACUGUAAACGAUGAAUGCUAGGUGUAGGGGGUAUCGACCCCUUCUGUGCCGCAGUCAACACAAUAAGCAUUCCGCCUGGGGAGUACGGCCGCAAGGUUGAAACUCAAAGGAAUUGACGGGGGCCCGCACAAGCAGCGGAGCAUGUGGUUUAAUUCGACGCAACGCGAAGAACCUUACCAAGGCUUGACAUCCACUUAAAGUUAUGGAAACAUAAUGUCCCUUCGGGGGAAGUGAGACAGGUGGUGCAUGGUUGUCGUCAGCUCGUGUCGUGAGAUGUUGGGUUAAGU